rnacentral:rRNA from 1 species
GGGGGAAUUUUGGACAAUGGGCGCAAGCCUGAUCCAGCCAUGCCGCGUGCGGGAAGAAGGCCUUCGGGUUGUAAACCGCUUUUGUCAGGGAAGAAAUCUUCUGGGUUAAUACCUCGGGAGGAUGACGGUACCUGAAGAAUAAGCACCGGCUAACUACGUGCCAGCAGCCGCGGUAAUACGUAGGGUGCAAGCGUUAAUCGGAAUUACUGGGCGUAAAGCGUGCGCAGGCGGUUAUGCAAGACAGAUGUGAAAUCCCCGGGCUCAACCUGGGAACUGCAUUUGUGACUGCAUGGCUAGAGUGCGGCAGAGGGGGAUGGAAUUCCGCGUGUAGCAGUGAAAUGCGUAGAUAUGCGGAGGAACACCGAUGGCGAAGGCAAUCCCCUGGGCCUGCACUGACGCUCAUGCACGAAAGCGUGGGGAGCAAACAGGAUUAGAUACCCUGGUAGUCCACGCCCUAAACGAUGUCAACUGGUUGUUGGGAAGGUUCCUUCUCAGUAACGUAGCUAACGCGUGAAGUUGACCGCCUGGGGAGUACGGCCGCAAGGUUG